AACAAACGCUGGCGGCGUGCCUAACACAUGCAAGUCGUACGAGAAAGUCGGCUUCGGCCGAUGAGUACAGUGGCGCACGGGUGAGUAGCGCGUGGGUAAUCUGCCCCCCGGUCAGGAAUAACCCGCCGAAAGGCGGGCUAAUACCCGAUAACACUGACGCUCCGCGGAGCGUCUUUCAAAGAAGGCCUCUGUUUACAAGCUUUCGCCGGAGGAUGAGCCCGCGUACCAUUAGCUAGUUGGCAGGGUAAUGGCCUACCAAGGCUACGAUGGUUAGCUGGUCUGAGAGGAUGGCCAGCCACACUGGAACUGAGACACGGUCCAGACUCCUACGGGAGCAGCAGUGAGGAAUAUUGGUCAAUGGGCGCAAGCCUGAACCAGCCAUCCCGCGUGCAGGAAGACGGCCCUAUGGGUUGUAAACUGCUUUUCCAGGGAGAGAAACUUACGCACGUGUUGCGUGACUGACGGUACCCGUGGAAUAAGCAUCGGCUAACUCCGUGCC
rnacentral:rRNA from 1 species